AGCCCUUUUUUACAGAUGGCAAAAGUGUCCAGGUCAUGGCUUGAGUCCUUGUCAAUCACUGUGCUCAAAUAUUUGUAGAACGCUAGCCUUUCUACUUGCUAAUAUUUAUCCAGAUAAAGUCGACUUUAUUCAAUUGUGGUGAAGUUUACAAUACUGUCUGAAUGUUAGUAUGAUAAAUGCUAGCUGUACAACUUUUGCAGGUUUACCGAAGAGAAUAAAAGCUGUGGGAAGCGGCUGUCAGAAAGAGGCCAACGCUUUCCUGUGAUAAUCUGCCUCCUGUGAUGGCCAGUAGGCUAAUUAUAUUGAUGUAGAGGGCAGUAAUGACACUAAAAAUGUGUCCGUGCUUUUUAUGUUGUGGCGUUAUGAAGUGAGGUCCAUUUGAAAAACUUGUCAGUUCUGCCACAUCCAACAUGGCAGACACGCUGAUGUUUUACAGCAACCUGUCUACAUUCUCCUCUGUCUUCCGUACAGGGCGGAGUGAGCGAUGACGCUGGGCAACGGUGCUGGGCAGUGCACACGGGGGGCGGAUAGUUGUGUCAGCCAGAACUAGAGCUGGGGCGAGUGGUAUGAGCAGCCGAACGACCGGGACGGAGAAACCGCUGGAGCGAGCUCGUCAGUUUGUUAGUUUUUGUUGUUGGGUGUUUUUUCUGUUUUGUUUUAAAAAAAGAAAAUACAUGUAUGACGUCACAGGCCCCAGUCGCCCAAGUGACCAGAUGAUGCAGGUCUCGUGGAUAACGUGUGCGGUUGUAGUGAUGAGGUCUUCAAUGGACCGGGGAAGGGAGCUCUAAUGGCUCUCCGCGGCCCGGGCUGCAAGGAGACACCGAGGGAAGCGUACAGCAGCGGCGGCAGGUAUCAGGGAAGCGACGCGGUGUCCGCAGCUCGCGAAAAAGAAGCGCCACGGUGCGGCUGUCGUGUUUUUCACCGGAGGGUACGAGCGGCAAGGGGAACAUGGCCGCGCAGUCGGACGGGAAAGCCGGGGUGGGUUUCGCCCAGCUUUACGACGUCGACGCCGACGAGCCGCUGAAUUCGGCCGCCAUCCACAUCUGCCAGUGCUGCCGCUCUUCAGCGUGCUACUGGGGCUGCCGCUCCGCGUGCCUCGGCACAUUAUUCGGCGGAGGCCAACCCGCCGCAGGGGGCGUCGGCAUCCGGGAAACUCACUGCCCACCGCGGCAGCAGCUGUGGCUGGACUGCCUCUGGAUCAUACUGGCCCUCCUUGUCUUCUUCUGGGACGUUGGUACGGACCUGUGCCUCGCGGUGGAGUACUACCAGAGGGGGGACUACCUGUGGUUUGGCCUCACGCUCUUCUUCGUCUUAGUGCCAUCGGUGCUGGUCCAGAUUUUGAGUUUCCGCUGGUUUGUGCAGGACUACACUGGCGGGGGGCUCGGGGAGGUGGAGGGUCUGACAAAGCGGGGUACGGUGGCUCCGCGGUGCCACUAUCCCGGCAAGGACCGCUUGCAGCUGGUCACCAUCUGGCUGUGGCAGGCCACCAUACAUAUCCUGCAGCUGGGCCAAGUCUGGAGGUACAUCAGGACACUCUACCUCGGCCUCAUGUCCCGUCACCAGAAGGAGCACCAGCGCCGCUGGUACUGGGCUAUGAUGUUCGAGUAUGCAGAUGUCAACAUGCUUCGGCUGCUGGAGACUUUCCUGGAGUCGGCGCCUCAGCUGGUCCUGCAGCUGUGCAUCAUGAUCCAGGAGAAUCGUGCAGAGACGCUACAAUGCAUCUCCUCCCUCGCUUCCCUCCUGUCUCUCGCCUGGGUCUUGGCAUCCUACCACAAACUGCUGCGGGACUCGCGUGACGACCAGCGCAGCAUGAGCUACCGUGGUGCCCUGCUGCACCUCUUCUGGCGUCUCUUCACCAUCUCAUCCCGCGUCCUCUCACUUGCCCUUUUUGCCUCACUCUUUCAUAUCUACUUUGGCAUCUUUGUGGUGGUCCACUGGUCGGCCAUGGCCUUCUGGGUGGUGCACGGGGGCACCGAUUUCUGCAUGUCCAAAUGGGAAGAGGUGCUUUUCAACAUGGUGGUGGGCAUUGUCUACAUCUUCUGCUGGUUUAACGUGAAGGAGGGCCAGACACGACACAGAAUGAUUACCUACUAUACUGUGGUGUUGGCCGAGAACACCAUCCUCACGGGCCUGUGGUACACCUACAGGGACCCUGUACUGACCGACUCAUACGCCAUGCCGGCAUUGUGCGGCGUCUACUUAACGUUUGCUGGCGGCGUCCUGGUGAUGCUGUUGUACUACGGCUUCCUGCACCCCGCGACUGCCCACCUCCAGCCGAGCCCCGCCUCCUCCUGCUGCGCCCAACUGCUAUGGGGUCUUCCCCUUCCCCCUUCUGCACCGCCUACUGCCCCACCUACCCCUGCCCACAUGACCAAGUCCCAGACAGAUGAGGAUGUGGCUGAAACAUGUCUUCCCGUCUUCCAGGUCAGGUCAGUGCCCCCCACUUCCAAACCUGAGGGCCCAUUUAUAAAGAUCGACAUGCCCAGGAAGCGUUACCCGGCGUGGGACGCCCACUACGUUGACCGGCGCCUGCGGAGGACUAUAAACAUCCUGCAGUACAUCACACCGGCCGCUGUGGGCAUCCGCUACCGUGAUGGACCCCUGCUGUAUGAACUUCUACAAUAUGAGUCUUCACUUUGAUACACACACACACUGUGAAGAGAAAUGUUUGUCUUCAAAGUUAAAAGUUCACUGAUGAAUAAGAAACACGUCGCACUUGGUAUAAGCACAGAGCCACAAAACCAUUCUGGCACAUUUUAAUGCACACACCCUCACAAAAACACACACAUACCUUGCGAGUACCUUCAACCUGCGAGUCCCUUGACCCUGACUCAACAAGCUGCCUCAUUGAGAGUCUGAAAUCUCCUCCUCUCUAUUUGCAACUAGCACCGUUCAUCUGUGUUGGAGCUCCAGAACCGUGAGCAUAUUUUAUACCAGAUCCAUAUGCUACAGAUUGUUUACGUUAUAUCACACACAAAUGUACUAAUUUCUCAACAGCAAUGAGACACUGAAAAGAGGAAAUUGAUUUUACACUGCGGGGUUGAAUUAUUUGAGGAAUUAGGUCAAGUCAACACAAAUCAGCCGCAGUAGUUAAUAAAAUGGUAAUCUUAAUUACAUGUAUAGAGCUCGUGCACCUACAUCAUAAAAUCACGUGACUUUUGUUUACCUCGCCAUAUUGCCGGUCAAGCUAAGUCUGAGUCUUGUCCGAUACCAUCAGACAUUUAGAAGGUGAAAAUAAACGACGGUACGUGGAAAAACUUAUAAACUCGGCGUAGAGGACCCGUAUUUAAUGCCAAAUCGAUGUUUUCACCAAUAAGAAAUUGGACUGUUAAUUCACUUUCGCCUGUCUUGGACAACUGGAUAUACACAUGGAUAUGGUGAGUAAGUCAUCAAGAUUUACACGGAAAAGUUUGAAAGUGUAUAAAAGUCUGGACGCAUAAGAAUACUUUGUUGCUGGAUCUGUUCUCAUCAGGAAUAAAUCUCACAUAGCAACGGUUUUGACGGCUUGUGAACAUGGAAGUAUGUUGGACGACAUGUUAACCUUUGGCGGAAUCCAUCGAUCCUUUCAGCUAGUAUUCAAUAAAAAUACCAAUAUUUAAAUAAAUGACCCCUGGUUUUACACAAACUCGGAUUCAUUAACUAUGACUGAAAAAAAAAAGAGGACAAUGUCGUCUCUAAGGAAUGUACAUGAAAGCGAUUGCGGUCACACUUAACCUCCGUAAACCUCUGCAACAGACAGUUUUUUUUUUUAACACGCAUCAUUCUCAAAUGAGUCAACUUGGCCUUAUAAAUACUUUUUGGUAAUAUGAGAUUGAAAAGAAUAAUUCCUACUUGAAAUGAAGCGAUCACUACAUAGGCGUGUGUAUAUUUUGGUUGGGCACCAUCCAUCACAUUUAAUUGCCGAAAUCCAUUGAUAUUUUCUGGUCUUUUCAGAUGGCGUUCCAUAGAAUGAUCUCUGAAUAUCUGUCUCGUCUGUUGUGAUAACCAACAGCACAACAGGUCUUGGGUAGUGUAAAUAUUCUCCUCCAGUUCAAUGUCGAGCAGCUCUGUUUGACCAGCAAUAGCUUCUUUUCCUUUCGGCUUGUCCCGUUAGGGGUCGCCACAGCGUGUUAUCUUUAGAUGAACGCAUAUUUGUUUGGCACAUUUUUACGCCGGAUGCCCUUCCUGACGCAACCCCUCUGGAUUUAGCUGGGGAGAGACGCUUACAGCACCUGGUAUUCCCAGGCGGUCUCCCAUCCAUGUACUAACCAGGGCCAAACCCGUUUAGCUUCUGAGUUCUGACGGAAUCUGGCGUUCUCAGGUUAGCAUGGUCAUAAGCAUUUGACCGGCAAUAUGGUGCUGUGAAAACGGUGACGUCACGUGCACAAGCUCGAUAUGGCUUUCAACAUCCCCCCAGUUUGCUGGAUUUUGGGACAGUUUGAGAAAUUCCAAGGACUUGAGCUGUAGAUUAGGCUCGUAACAAGAGAUAACGAUAAACUGCAAAUGUUAGCAUGUAUUUAAAGUGAAGGAAAAUGCUUAAUUUUGUUGUCAACAAACAAGUACUAUGAAUAAUCACAGAUGGAGAGAGAAAAUUUGUUCUCUCCCCUUCCUGUUAUCAUUAUAAGAGUUAAUGUCUAAAAUAGGAUCUACGGUAAUUUGUGAGUAAUAAGAUUGACAUUUACCUAAAAGAAACAGAAUUUCACCAUGAGCAAAUGCAAGACUAUUCUCAUGAAUAAUUUUCCUUAUCCGUGUUUUCUAAUUUUGACAGACAAGACUAUCCACUCAUCUAUAGACACCUACAGCUAAGCUAUGAUUUUUAUUUUUCACUGUUUGUUUUUCCUGUAAUCCAAUCUGUUACAUUGGCAGGAGUCAAAACGUACUGUAAAUAGAAUAUUUGUAAUGUCUCGAUCCCGUCAUCAGGGCCCCGCGUUAACACGUUGUGAGGCUUUGGAUUGAGGGCUGGGGUUGGUUGGGGAAGCCUUCUGGCAUCAAACAGGGUAAACGUUUACUUUAGGCAUUACACAUAUGCACACGCACGUAACGCACACACAUGCAAGCGUUAUUUCGCUGCUGUCUUGGGAACGUACAGAGCAUAAAAAAGAGCUACAGAGUCAAAUGAACCCGGAAUUUUGAUGGUGAACCUUGAGCGACUUUUUGUUUAUGAUGGCUAAACCUGACCAAAUGUAUACUGGUUGAAUGAGAAUCAAAAAACAAGGUUUACUGGGAAGAUUAACCUUGUAAUUAAAUAACUAUAGGGGGGGGGACAAAAACAUUUGGAUUCAUUGGAAAUUCCAAAUCUCUUCCAUACAAAUUGUAGAAGGAAUUUGUGAUUCUACAUGUUUUUCUGAUUAAUUAUUAUAUGAAUGUUCAUUAUGAUGGUGUACGAGUAUAGAUAUAAUGCACUUUUCUUUCCUUGUUUUUAUUCCCUUUCUGCUUUGGAGUUUAUCUGCCUUACAAAUUUAUGUUGCCAGAUACCUUGAUGUGCCCGAUGGAAAUACAGUUGGGAUUGCAGCUGAUUUGAAAUCUACAAACUACCAAUGAGAUAGUUUACACUACUUUCUGUGGUGCUACAGUUCAUUUGCUGCCAACAGAUGAGUAGGUUAGUCGAGGGGAAGAUGCAAUAGCUCAUACGCUUACAGUAUGUGCAAAUAUGUAACACACACACUUCAUAAGCAUGCAUCAUUAAGGAGCAAAAAGGGCAGAUUGUCACUUUGGAUUUUCUGGUGCAACUUGAGUACUGCCUUCAGUUUGUGGCCAUAAGGCUGCAGCCACUUGGACCACUGCUAUGCAACUCUCUCAUUGCAGGGAGAUGUGCUUAGUUAACCCACUCACAACACACACACACACACAACUGUGUGUCCUGUACAGCAUGGUGCUAAUUUGUUCAUGCAUACAGUGAAAGUAGUGUAAUACAGUGAUAACCUGGGAUGUAUCCUGACCUCACCUCUUGAACAGACAUACAGAUACAGUAAAGUAACACCUGACCCCUUUACAAUUUAGGAAAACAGUCUCAUGGUGCUAUCAAGUGACGAUGGCUUGGUUUUUGCAUUGUCCUGGUUGCGGUGUGUGAUGGAGAAUUUUGCCAAAUAUGUGUAGUGAGCUCCAACACUCACUGAAGCCUGCCUCAUUCACUCGGCAGGAGUGGAUACGGACAUCUUUGAAGGGAAAAUCCAGGAGGCGUCGGUGCUAUACACACUCCUAUGGGCAGGAACUGUACGAGGGGUAAGGGGGCACUGUAUACAAACACAACAAAAUGUGCCGUCGAAAAAAAAAAACAGACAGGAAUUCAUGUUGUAGAGUGUGAACUGCUUAUUUUUAAGAGUUUCAUGGGUGCUAUGUUCACAUACGAAGCAGCCGCCAUAACUACAGUACCACUCCACCACCUCCAGAGCUCCAGCCAAUCAGGUGUUUCACAGGCAAAUCAGGUCUGACACAACCAAAAAGUACUGUCACUUUUCUGUUUUGAUUGAAGAGGUUUCACACACACACAAAAUGGCAGUUUACCAUUCAUGAGUUGCAGCCAUUUUUCACAUUAUCACAUUCACAAGUGUUUGGGCAACUGACGUAAUACCACGCACAAACACACUGUCUUGGCUUGAGAUCGCAUGACUGACUUGGGUGUUGCAGAUCCUUCUGUUUCUUUGUCUUUAGAAAGUCUUGAGUUGCUUUUUCCAGUACAUAUGGCCCACUGUUUAUCCAUACAGUACUACGAAGUCAAGCAUAAAGUGCUGCCCACCUAACAUCACCGGUGACCCAGUUCCACUGGCAGCUGCAUGUGUCCAUGUCACAGGAUGUGUGGUUGCUUCAGGCAUGAAAAUUCCUCCCGACGUACCCCCACACCACCACCACACCAACAACAAAAACAGGAUCCAACAUUUUAAGCGUGCAAAAGACAAAAAUCA